UACAUUCAACUUUGCUAAUUCAAUAAAAGAAUUUACUUUUAAUUUACAAACAAAUCCUAUUUAUUUCUCUUUCUUAAGAAACCUAAAAUAUGUGGCUAACUUAGUCUUUCACAUAAUUUAAACCUUGACCUGAGAUUAUUAAAAUAAUUAAAAGAAAAAAUAACUAAAAUUGAUCUUUUACGGAGGUAUAUAAAAUAAUAGUUAAAGAGAAAUUAAACGAGGAUUAUCGAUUAAUAAACAAGCCCCUCUGAUAAGAGGUUAAACCGCCAAAAAAGUUAGGUUUUAUGGUUAACAUUUAAUACCUAGAAGAAUUAAUAAAAGGGUAUCUAAUCCUUUUUUUAUGAAAAUGUCAAAAGAAAAAACUUAGUAUAAAGGUAAAAAGAAAGAUUUCACCCUACUUUUUACUCAAAAAAAAACAAAACUUUUCUAAAUAAAAUAUUUUUAAAAAUAAUCGUAUA
rnacentral:rRNA from 3 species